rnacentral:lncRNA from 1 species
AUGAAGUCAUUGGCCAUUUGUGAUUAGCUCGGUCUCCAGCUCCUUUCCCCUCCCAGGGGUUUGGGAGGUGGGGCUGCAAGUUCUACCCUCUGAUCAAGGCCUGAUGUUCUGCCUUCACCCCGCAGCUUCCCAAGGGUUCCCAGACACCAGUCAUUUCAUAUCAUACAAACAGAACUCAUCACUCUGGAGAUUCCAGGAGUUUUAGGAGCCAUUUACCAGGAACCAGGGACAAAGAACAAAUCAAACAUCUGCUUCCUGGGGAGCUGCAGGAGGCCAUGGAGAUUAAGAGAAUGGAAAUGGAGCUGCCAGCACAACGAAGGAACACAGGUUUGAGGUGGGCUGUGCUAUGUAUGAACUUUCCUAGAAGAGAAGCUGGAGUGUGACCAUGACAUCUGCCAGUGGAAGUGGAGACAGUCACAUCCUCAUUAAGAGGGGGCUCAAACUUCAGUGUGCGUGAGAAUUACUCAGACAGCUUAUUCGGUCACAGAUGGCUGAUUCAGUAGGGCUGAACCAGACUCAGAACACCUGGUCUAUAGGAACCACAGGAGGUUAGAGAAGGGAAGAACCAGCACAGACUCUGGUGGUGGAGAAGUUCAGGUAAGUGUGUGAUUCUGCUGGUUCCUUUGCUUGAGUGUUGGCCUCACUUUAGGUGGGGCUUGGUGGAUCUUUCAGUGACUUCAGAAAGUGAGUGGAAUGAAAUGGAGCCUCAUUUGGUUUGGCAGAAGAUUGGGGUAUUUGGAUAGGUGGUGAUCAGGAUGGGAGAUGUAGACCAGGGAAACCCUGUGAACAAAAUCACCAUACCUGAAAUGAUCUCUGAAUGUCCUGUUCACCCUGUUGGGAAAGCUCAGCUCCAUCCAAUCACACGGG